CUCUCCGUCUGUCUGACAGGAUCGUUUUCUAAACUCGGCCACUUCCUGGAUUUAUUGUCGCAGUUUUUUUUUUUUUUUUUUUUUGUAAUAAGUAUUCAGUGGUUUGUGUCAACAAUGUCUCCAUUUAACACAUGGCGUCUUUACCUCCUUGACUAACGGAGCCUGUUUUGGUGAAACUUUUUCUCCUACAAUGAGGAAAUCAGGAGGACAUCGGGGAGUUUCGCCCUUCUUCUCCUCUCCUUUGAGAUUUUUAGUUCACCAAGAAAACCUUUGUUCUCACCGACUGUUCUGGGAUUAUAAAUUACAUUUUGGCUAAUUUAUGUGGCGAUCUGAGGGAGACACCUGCUGUGAAGCCUGAACUUGUAACAUCUGGCUCUUUUUUCUUUUUAAUGGCGACGGACCAUCUCUCUUCCUCAAGCCGGGUGGAUCUAGGAGGUGUGCUCACUUAUGGCGGUGUGGGACCCGCUCCAGCCCCGAAUCCAGCCACAUGAUUCGGGACUGGAGCCUAAAACUGGUCGGGCUUUAAAGCUGCUGUCUCCGCUCCAAAGCUGCGCUUCUCCUGUGGCUUCUGGAGCUUUUUGGACCCUCAGAUCAGACCCAGAGGAUUCACGCUUUUCUCUUCCGAGGCCGGAGAACCCAGCCGCCUCCGUGGAGAUCAAGCCGAGGAACCCUGAAGAUGAAGCUCCACACUCCUGCUGCACAGCGCUCCAUGUUUGAAGGGAAAUAUUUUUAUUCAAACCAAAUAAAAGAUGUUUUUUAAUCUCUA